rnacentral:rRNA from 1 species
AGUUCGGAUCGCAGGCUGCAACCCGCCUGCGUGAAGUUGGAAUCGCUAGUAAUCGCGGAUCAGCAUGCCGCGGUGAAUACGUUCCCGGGCCUUGUACACACCGCCCGUCACACCAUGAGAGUCGGGAACACCCGAAGUCCGUAGCCUAACUUUAACGAGGGGCGCGGCCGAAGGUGGGUUCGAUAAUUGGGGUGAAGUCGUAACAAGGUAGC